GAUGAACGCUAGCGGCAGGCCUAAUACAUGCAAGUCGAACGGUGUCUUCGAACAUAGUGGCGCACGGGUGCGUAACACGUAUGCAACCUACCUUACAUUGGGGGAUAGCCUUUCAAAAGGGAGAUUAAUACCGCAUAAGCCAGUAGCUGGGCAUCCAACAGCUGUUAAAGAUUUAUCGAUGUAAGCUGGGCAUGCGUCCAAUUAGCUAGUUGGUGAGGUAACGGCUCACCAAGGCAAUGAUUGGUAGGGGAACUGAGAGGUCAAUCCCCCACACUGGCACUGAGAUACGGGCCAGACUCCUACGGGAGGCAGCAGUAGGGAAUAUUGGGCAAUGGACGCAAGUCUGACCCAGCCAUGCCGCGUGCAGGAUGAAGGCGUUAUGCGUUGUAAACUGCUUUUAUACAGGAAGAAACGACUCUUGCGAGAGGCAUUGACGGUACUGUAUGAAUAAGCACCGGCUAACUCCGUGCCAGCCGCCGCAGUAAGAC
rnacentral:rRNA from 1 species